GAGUUUGAUCAUGGCUCAGGAUGAACGCUAGCGGCAGGCCUAAUACAUGCAAGACGAACGGUAAGUUGUGUAGCAAUACAUGACCUAGAGUGUCGUAAGGGUGCGUAACACGUAUGCAAUCUGCCCGGAACUGGAGGAUAGCUCGCCGAAAGGCGAAUUAACACUCCAUAGGAUGGUAGGGAGGCAUCUCCUAGUCAUUAAAACUACGGUGGUUUCGGAUAAGCAUGCGGAUGAUUAGCUAGUUGGUGAGGUAACGGCUCACCAAGGCGAUGAUCAAUAGGGGAACUGAGAGGUUGAUCCCCACACUGGCACUGAGAUACGGGCCAGACUCCUACGGGAGGCAGCAGUAGGGAAUAUUGGACAAUGGGUGCGAGCCUGAUCCAGCCAUGCCGCGUGCAGGAAGACGGCCUUCUGGGUUGUAAACUGCUUUUG
rnacentral:rRNA from 1 species